rnacentral:misc_RNA from 1 species
UCGAAUCUCACAACGAGCAGACCGUGCACAUGUAUAUAUAUGCCCCCCCGACGGACAGGUGCAACCGCAGCCUCCCGUCGUCGCCCCGCACCCGCCUGACCCUCGCGCGAGCGAGCGUCCUGGGCUGGUCGGGGACAACAACAAAACCACGGCGCGGAAAAGGCGCCAAGGAUCACAAACGCGGAGCGCCGCCCCUUCGCGCACCCGCACGCGGUGUGCCGUUGGUGGGAUGUGCGUCUCCUGAGAUUGAAUACGGAAACAAAU